GAUGAACGCUGGCGGCGUGCCUAAUACAUGCAAGUCGAGCGAACAGACGAGGAGCUUGCUCCUCUGACGUUAGCGGCGGACGGGUGAGUAACACGUGGAUAACCUACCUAUAAGACUGGGAUAACUUCGGGAAACCGGAGCUAAUACCGGAUAAUAUAUUGAACCGCAUGGUUCAAUAGUGAAAGACGGUUUUGCUGUCACUUAUAGAUGGAUCCGCGCCGCAUUAGCUAGUUGGUAAGGUAACGGCUUACCAAGGCAACGAUGCGUAGCCGACCUGAGGGGGUGAUCGGCCACACUGGACCUGAGACACGGUCCAGACUCCUACGGGAGGCAGCAGUAGGGAAUCUUCCGCAAUGGGCGAAAGCUUGACGGAGCAACGCCGCGUGAGUGAUGAAGGUCUUCGGAUCGUAAAACUCUGUUAUUAGGGAAGAACAAAUGUGUAAGUAACUAUGCACGUCUUGACGGUACCUAAUCAGAAAGCCACGGCUAACUACGU
rnacentral:rRNA from 1 species